CGUCAUGGCGGCUGGGCCCGGGCCUGGCUAGGGAUCCGGGAUCAGCGGUGGGAGCCGAAGGCGGGGGGAACCCAGCUCUCGCUGGACACUUCCCGAUCCCGGCCGCAGCGACUGGUCUUCUAUGUUCAAGGAAUGCGCCAGCCUUUGGGAACUCAGAGACGAAAGAGACACGCUCUAUUCCUAAUAAGUUUAAGAUUUAGUGGACAAGGUGCUUGAUAAACGCUUGUUCCGUGAAUGAUGGAUCGUGACCUUGUGGAGCUAGGAUGUGGAGUUCACGAAGGAGAACAGCAGGUUAGGCUAAAAGGUGAGGACAUGGAUCUACGGAGAGGUGGAGUCAUUGGUCUCGAAGGAGCUCAGCAGAUAUCAAAUCUGACUCGUUUGACCUCGGAGCUGGCCUGCUUAACCAGAGUUCGGAUGGCCUCUCAUUCCCCCUCGGUCAUCUGCCUGUGAAAGCGAGCUUUUUCAAAAGGUAGGGGCCUGUGAUGCUUCUGCUUCCAGACCACCCGGGAACUCUGGCAGUUUGAAGAGAGCAGACAAGGCCUUUCACACUCUAACUGCAGACUCACUGCAGACUCACUCUGCACCCUGCCCAACAGCCCUGCCUCUGGCAAGCCACACAGAACGCCUUGUGGAAGCACGCCCUGACUUUUCACUCUCUGCACUUUUUUCUGCUCUUCUUAUUACACUGCGAUUUUUUUCCCCUUUAUAUCUUGGAUCUUCAGUUCAGAAGACUGAACUAUUCACACUGCACAGUUAAAGACAUGCCGUGAUAGUUGGCACCUCCAAAGUCCUCCACGUGUUGUUUGUCUCUAUGCAUCACCUUCGUCCCUCCUCCCAUUUCUCUUACCCCGCCACCUUUCUAGUAUAUUUACAUGUUAUGCUUUUUUAUGUCACUCUAAAAUAUGUAUUUGUGUGUGUGUAUGUUUAAUUUACAUAAAUGGUAU